CGCUCCAAAAAAACAGAGGCACCGGGACUCAAGAGGAGAGAGAAGAAGAGAGGCUGAGCGAUUGUGAUUCAAGUGAGAGCAGUCUUCAUCAAUGGCGCCGGCAAUGGACCGCUGCAAGGCGAGAUUACACGUAACUUAUUAGGACCAGCAGAAAGUUUCAGGUUCUAAGCAGCUUACAUGGCAUUUGUUUCUCAAAGCACAAACAGCUCUGGGAUGUAUUUCAUGAAGCCAUGGGUUUGUUGAUAAUGUUAGUUUUAGUCAAAAUGCAUUAGCCAUUCAGAUGCAACAAAUGAAGAUUACAAUCACAAAGAGAGGUUGUACAAGUUUCGCAAAGGCCUUUCUAGCCAUUUCUAUGGUGGCUUUGGUCAUUGAACAUGUUGCUUAUUCUCAAAAGUGGAUUCGACUUUGGUUCAUCCUCGGGAGGUUCAUGGUGUUGUGCAAUGGUCUUAAUUGGCCUGGCUGUCCUUAGGAGUUGAUUAUGCUGCUGCUCCGUUGCUAUUAAUGCUUUCCAAGUUCUUUGUUGUACUUUUCAUGAUUCAGCCAUUGGAUCAACUGGUGCUUUGUCUUGGAUGCUUCUAAAUUAAGUUCAAGAAGUUGAUGCCAAUUUGUAGAAUGAGAAGGAUAUGACAUUAAGGGUGGCUCCAGUUUUCUGAUGGUUGCACGAAUUCCAUGUGCAAUGGUAGACGAAACAACCUUUAAUUAGGAUUAAGUAGAUGCAUUAAAGCCUUUAAAUUGUGUAAGAACGACCAAAUGACCGCCUAGUUCAAUCAGAUGUUUUGUUGUUGUUGUGGGAAGAUGUGCUGCCAGAGAAGCUUCCUUGCCAUUCCUUUUCGGCAACUUGGUCUUUCUUCAAUUGUUAACUAGUUAAAACAAAACCCUGUAGUGUGUGACCAGUGAACUAGCUCUGUAAGGGGCUCUAUAUCUUGUCUAAUACCUUUUCCUUUUUUU